rnacentral:rRNA from 1 species
UACAGAGGUGGCAAGCGUUGUUCGGAAUUACUGGGCGUAAAGGGCUCGUAGGCGGCCAACUAAGUCCGACGUGAAAUCCCAAAGCUUAACUUUGGAACUGCGUCGGAUACUGGAUGGCUUGAAUUCGGGAGAGGGAUGCAGAAUUCCAGGUGUAGCGGUGAAAUGCGUAGAUAUCUGGAGGAAUACCGGUGGCGAAGGCGGCAUCCUGGACCGACAUUGACGCUGAGGAGCGAAAGCUAGGGGAGCAAACGGGG